GGAACUCGGAAGGAGCCGGAGACACGAGGUUAUCCAGGAGAACGUUGCUUUGCAGGAGCCAAGUUGCAGGAAGCAGAGGGCACUCAUCGUUGCAUUGCUCAGACUUCUCAUUUUGGUGGCUUCUCUGGUCUCACAGCACAGGCUCUAGAGCACAGGCUCAGCAGUUGUGAUGCACGGACUUAGUUGCCCCAUGGAUGUGAGAUCUUCCCAGAUCGGGGAUCCAACCCAUGUCACCUGCAUGGGUAGGUGGAUUCUUAUCCACUGAGCCACCAAGGAAGUCCAAAGGAAAAGUUCUGGAAGAAAAUGAAGUGGAAUAUUUUCAAAGCACCAAGGAUUACUGCAAAUCAUUGUGGAUUCAGGAUAUUGAAAAAUAUAAGAACAUUACCAUGUCUUCAUCAUAGGAGGGAUAUAUUUCUAUAUCUAGAUAUCACUUACUUUACUUGAUCUGCUGUCAUUAAUUUGCCAGAUAUUUAUUGAGAAGCGACUAUGUGC
ensembl:lncRNA